CAGGAAUCUAGUGGCUCUGCUGGCCCCGGGGCCCCGCCCCGGCUUCUGUGGGCCUUUCUGUCUCCCUGGAUCCUUCUCUCCAUGACAGAUUUGCACAGACCUGAACUGGGUCCCCCAGAUUCAAAAAGAUGAUGUCGUCAUGCCCCAAACCUCAGAAGGUGACUGUAUCCGGAGUUGGGGACUUUAAAGCAAUGAUUAAGCCGAAAUGAGGCUCUCAUUCAAGAUGCCAGGCGUCCUUUGAGAAGAGACAAUUUAGACUCUGAAAGAGACCCAGGAAUGCGUGUGCUCAGAGAGAUGGUCACAGAACAGGUGGCACGGGCACUACCUUCAAGCCAAGGAGGUCUCAGUGAAACCCACCCCGCCAGGACUGUGUCCCCAUUCAGCCUCCAGAGCCACGAGAAAGUACCCUUCUGUCGUUUAAGCCACUCCAGCCCGAGGUCUCUUGUCAUGGCAGCCCUAGGAAACUGACGUAGCCCCUGAAGUUUUUCAUUUAUUGCUCAUGUGAAAAAAAU
rnacentral:lncRNA from 1 species